ensembl:lncRNA
UUUAGGCAGUGCGUUUAUUUACAGUGGUGUAAUGAUCCAAACAACAAUAAAUCCCCAGUGCGAUCCCAACUCCAGUUCCGUGUCUUCUUCUCAGUGCCCGUGCUCCGUGUCUGCGCUCCCGUGAAACUUGUGCUCGCUGCUCUCCCGUUCCCGCACUCCUGCUGGAAAACCACAAAGGCAGCCGUUAACCCACAACUCAAAAAACAUCUCCGCCAACACAACAAAAAACCCCAGUUCAAUAGUCCAACCCCUGCCCUAGUGGCAGCAACACAGUUCUGUCGGCCGACCCGGUGGACGGCAAAACAGGCGAGACCUGCGGUGGGUUAUGCAGUGGCGGCAAAACAGUUCAGGUGGCCUACCUCUAACCCCUUGGUGGAAGCGCUGCAGCUCCGGCGGGCGGCCACAGGUCCAGUGGCGACGGCGCUGCAUCUCCGGUGGCUUACCACGCGUCCUGUGGUGGUGGUGCUGCAGACUGAUGGGACGCUGGUGGAGAAGCAGUUGCAGAGGGUGGAGGUGAUGAUGGUGCGGCAGCUACUUGCGGUAGACUGGGCAGCGAUGCAGGAACAAAAGACAGGUGAAAUGACGGUGGUGUGGGUCCAGCAGGUGCAUCGACCUCCGACUGAGGGUGAAGAUGAGAGGCUGACUGGACUAAAGACUGAGCUACAGGUAGCGGGGCUGAAGACUGAGUUUCAUGCUGGGCAGCUGACUGGGUUUGAUGCUGGGCAGCUGAGUGAGUUUCAUGCUCGGCAGCUGAGUGAGUUACGUGCUACGGCUACAGGCUGUGCUGCUGACUGAGCUACGGCUACAGGCUGGGCAGGUCCGGGUGGCGUCAUAGCUGCAGGUGGCGGAAGAGAUGGCAGAGUGGUGGCUGCAGGCAGAUGAGACGAUGGUGUCACACCAACUGCAACAACCUCCAGGAAUCCAGAGCUAGCUGAGGACUCCAGUUCAGUCCCAGGGGAAGCCCUGGAGUGAGGAAAUGUCUCGUGGCUGUCAGGCUUAGAUAAACUAAGCUCAGACAUCAGCAGCCAUGAACACAGUUUCUGGACUCCCAAGUUCUUUAACAUUAACAACCUCAGGAGUUUUUACCUUCCAUCUCUUCUUCUCAGUCAGUACUUCCUUUCCUGCCUUCUCUCAUCCAUCUUAACCCUCUCCACCUCUGCACGCCUCUUAUUCUCUGCUUCUACACUUAUCCCUUCCUCCUCCACUCUUUUCUACCUUUUCUCCUGCUUCAUUUUAAUAGUCACAGGAUGGGAAUUAGCAACAUUAGCAGAGCCCAGUUUACUCACCGCAGCGUCCGGACUGCUGGAGUUGGAAGCAGGGUGGAGGCUGCCAUAGGUGGAGCUGAUGGCUGAACUUCCUUAGUGUUUGUUGUCUCUCCGUCUUCUGUUAACAAACAAAAAGACGGAGUGGGUAAGGACAAAUGCCCGGUAUGCCCGAUGGCCAGUCCAGCUAUGCACAUGGAAAUGAGCAGUUUAGCUCAAAUCUGGCAGGUUUCCAUCUUCUGGUUUUAUCCUGAUGUCCAUGAACAUGAACACUGUCCCUGUCAAAUAAAUUCAGAUACAAAGAUCAGAUCUACUGAGCAUCAUCAGCGUGUCAGCCGCUAACUGCAUCUUCAAAUAAAUAAAUGUGUCUGAUCAGCGGUGAUAAGAGGAGAGACGCUGAGCGAGUCAAACUUUAAAAACUGACUGAAAAAAUUCUUCUUGGGCUCAUUUUUUGCUUCCAGUCUGAAAAUGAACUUAAAUUUAAUGAUUUUAGAGAAAUAUGUGACAUUUGAAGACCUUCGUUUAUUUGAUUUUCAGAGUUUUUAAUGAGCCACAGCAGCCCUGAAUAAACACUUGAAUUACUGUCUGAGCUGCUGCAGUUUCCUGCUGCGUCCACUGGGUGUCAGUAAAGCUGCAGGUGUCUCACCUGUGAGUCCAGCUGUGGGGAAACAGUCCAGCUGCUGGUUCUGCCUCCAGCUGAGGAAACACUUCAUUCCUUUUAUUGCUGAUCUCUCUUUAUGAAUCCACCUGAACUCGUCUGAUCCUGGAAACCUUUCACUUUCCUUCCUUGCUGUCUCCGUCUGUCUCUCACUUUCACAUUGGUUGGUUCCUCUCUGAAUCUCUCCUCUUAUCUGUGAACAUUCAUGAGGAAAAAGCAGAAUCAGUUCAGGCUUCGCUCUCACAGGAUUUUAAUGUUUGUGCUCAGAGUCUUUUCAAUGAGCUCCAUCUUUUUCCUGGAAUCAUCUCCAGAAGGAGCUGAAAGGAUCCGUGUUACACAACGUGGCCACUUUAAUAACAUCACAGCAGUUGUGUUACUGAGGUAUAACAGGGCAGCACUAACCAUGAAUGUGCAUCAGACCAACUCACCAGAGGAGUUUGUGUGAUCACAAUAACUCCUGGACACAGCUUCAAAGUGACUCCUCACUCUGACAGCACAUUACACUCAUCAGUUUCACUCACACACAAUUUUAUAAACUCAUCAUAACUACUUUGAAACAAAGUUCCAGCACACAGAGGAAAAUCCACAGCUGCAGUGUGUGGCUGCCACGCCCACAUCAACAUCACCGUGGCGUGUUCACUGACCAUUAAACAGUAGGAAAUGUCACUCAGCAAUGAGACCUGGGUCACGCUGACAUCAUGGUUGUGUUCUGUGUCCAUAUGAGUUUGAAUCUGCUUCAGUGAGGAGAACAUCACAGUCCACGCUUCCUUCAAACAGUCCACAGACCCGUCAGGUCUGAGCGUCGGGGACAUUUCACGCUUUUUGAAAUCAGCUCUCAGGAUUACAGCAGCUCAUGGAUGUCAUCAGUUUCCUGUUCUGGUGAGUUCACAGCAAACAAAGUUCCUCCUCGUGUUCCUCUGUGAAUCCAGUCGUGCUGGAAGAUUUGACAAUAUUCCCACAGUAAUGAUGUCAUUUCUACAGGAACUGGUUUUAUAGAAACAUCCUGAUAUCUGACAGCUCAUGGGAAGGACCAAAGGGAGGAGGCCAGAUAUGAUAGCUUAGCAAAAAUGUUCUAUAACAAAAGUAAAAUAAGCAAACUGAUGUAGCUCAGUGAAGUCAGCGGGAUGUGCAGUGUCUGGAUCUGUGACAUGGACUGAAAGAAACCAUAACACAAACCAAACAGCCAAAAUCAAACUCCAAGUAGAGACAGAAAUCCUGCUGCCACCAUUCAUUUCUGUUUGGAAGCAGACAUAAAGUCCUCGUGCUGUCAAAUCCAGAACCACUCGAGCCUUUUGGAGCCGUUUACAUCUGUGAAAAAGGUGGAAACAUGUCAAACAUGUGAGGAAGAACCAGCAGCAGCUCACACGUUUACCACAACCACACACAGUCCUCUGAGAGCAGCGUGGCCUCCAUCUUUGAAACAAAGUUCACAGUCAAAAUCAAACAAACUCACUGAUUGAUUAUUGAUUGAUUGAUUUUCAGAGAUGAUGUCAGAUCGGGGCUGCUCAGGGUGCUGUGGCUGUAAAACGCCAAUCAUAUCCACUCAGAGAGCCUCUCUAAGCCCCGCCCCUCUUCAUACACCUGCUCGUCUCGGUCGGGCUCACGGGGGCGGCGGUCUCAGCGCACAUGUUCACACCUCUUUCCACGUCAUUUCAAUAAACGCACACACAGAGUUAUCACAGCACUCAUGAAACAUGCACACUGGGCACAAACUAACUUCUAACAUGUUGAACUUUGCUCCAGUUUGUUCUGAUUGGCUGAAGCUUGGUAGUCACAUGGCUGCCUGUGAGUGUGUUUAAACACAGAGAGAAGCUGAAGCUUCACAUGUUGUGUUCUUCACACAGUCGGAUCAAACGUGUAAACUUUGUGACACAGCCUGGUCUUCGUGUGUGUGUGCACGGUCUGAGGAGCUCUCAAGCUUUUCAUAGAGGACACACACACUGAUGCAGGAAAAGAUGGAUGCACAUGAAAGCUUCACACACUCCUGAUGAGUGAGGACACACACACUCACAACAUGAGCAGCCAGCAGGCUUUAAAUGCUCAGUGUGAAGAAGUUUCCACACUUACCUUAAUAUCAUCAAGCAGCCUUCUUCUUCUACUGGUUCCCACAGUUCCCAGUGUUAAUAAAUGCACAGCCACAUGUGCUCUCUGUCAUCACCUACAGAUCUGAGAUCAGCAGCUUGUCCACUGUAGGCUUUAUCUUUUCCAUGUAACUGUGCUGCUUCACAGAGAGGGAGAACUGCAGCGCUUUGUUUGGUUGUGAACAAUAUGUGCAUGUUAAAUAUGAACAGCUGCUCCAGCAUGUGUUAGUGUGACAGACUGAAAUGUUGCUCCUUUUAAAGCUUUCUGCAGGAACUUCAUUUGAACAGGCAGGAAUUAGUUGUUCAAUAAAGGCAUGAAUUGGACCUUAAAGGUGGCCAAUCGAUACCAACGCUGGUAUUGGUGUCGGAUCAAUACUAGUGUGAUGGGACUGAGACUUUGUUUCUAUGCUCUAAGUUCAUUAUACAGACACUGGACUGUGUUACAUCAAUAUUUUGGGGAAAAACAAAGUAGGUCAAACAUGCACAAUGAAAACUGUCUGAAGCUUUUGGUGUGACUAUCACACCUAUUUUAUUUGUAGCCUGCAGCACAUUGUGUUUUACUGAGAGGCAC